rnacentral:lncRNA from 1 species
GCCCCAUCAGGAGGUGGACACGGGGUUUUCCCUGCACACCAUCAGGAGGUGGACACUCGGUUUGUCCUGAGCCCCAUCAGGAGGUGGACACUCGGUUUGCCCUGUGCCCCAUCAGGAGGUGGACACUCGGUUUAUCCUGAGCCCCAUCAGGAGGUGGACACUCGGUUUGCCCUGUGCCCCAUCAGGAGGUGGACACUCGGUUUCUCCUGA